rfam:Gossypium raimondii Chr10_contig_1418, whole genome shotgun sequence.
UGUUAAAAUUUUCAUCCAUUUGUACUGUUAAAAACUAGCGUUGCUGACAAAUUAACUAGACAGAGACACGUGACAUGCCACAUGUACCUCGUACUGAGAUACAAAUACUGGUUUUUAACAGCAAAAAUGGAUGAACUUUUUAACA